GGUCCGGUGGCGUAAUGGUAGCGCGUCUGACUACGACCCGCCUCCAGUUCGGUGACCAUCAAGGUCAUCCGGAGAUAGGGGAUCAAGUAAUCAGGAGGCUGCAGGUUCGAGACCUGCCCGGAUCG
rnacentral:tRNA from 1 species